UACGGAGGAUCCGAGCGUUAUCCGGAUUUAUUGGGUUUAAAGGGUGCUCAGGCGGGCCAUUAAGUCGGCGGUGAAAUUUUGCGGCUCAACCGUAAAAGUGCCUUCGAUACUGGUGGUCUUGAGUGUGGAUGAGGUAGGCGGAAUUUGUGGUGUAGCGGUGAAAUGCAUAGAUAUCACGAGGAACUCCGAUUGCGCAGGCAGCUUACCAGGCCAUAACUGACGCUCAUGCACGAAGGCGUGGGGAUCAAACAGGAUUAGAUA
rnacentral:rRNA from 1 species